ensembl:lncRNA
GCCCCUGAGCUAUCUAAUAGCCCCUGGCUAUUCAGGACCACAUCUCAGGGCCGUGGAGUCGAGGCCAAUCCUCUAAAGCCACCCUGGUUCUCUAAAGGCUGAACACCAGCUUGUACUUUGUGCCUAAAACUGUGUAGCUACCAUGGUAGCCUUCUCAGACAUGGCCUGUAAAGUAGCUCUGAACCUAAGAGCGAUAGAACCCUGGACAAGUUCAUUAACCUCUGAGACUUCCUGCCUCAACUCUUAAAGGGUGGAGAGCUAUAACAACCACCUGUCAAGAUGAGGAGUCAGCCAGGACUGCAGGACAGAUGGGUCAACACAAGCAGACUGAGGCAAGCACGGUGCAUGAAGAAGCUUUUCCCAUUUUCCAUUUCUUCCUUUUAUAACUUUUAACCUCUUAACAUUUAAACUUUUCCCAUGAUUCUUGUUCCUG